GAUGAACGCUAGCGAUAGGCCUAACACAUGCAAGUCGAGGGGCAUCACAUGAAGUAGCAAUACGGAUGGUGGCGACCGGCGCACGGGUGAGUAACACGUAUGCAACCUGCCUUCAACAAGGGGAUAACCCGUUGAAAGACGGACUAAUACCCUAUAACACAGGGGUCCCCAUGGGAAUAUUUGUUAAAGGACAACCGGUUGAAGAUGGGCAUGCGUUCCAUUAGCUAGUUGGCGGGGUAACGCCCACCAAGGCAACGAUGGAUAGGGGAACUGAGAGGUUUAUCCCCCACACUGGUACUGAGACACGGACCAGACUCCUACGGGAGGCAGCAGUGAGGAAUAUUGGUCAAUGGACGCAAGUCUGAACCAGCCACGUCGCGUGAAGGAAGACGGCCCUACGGGUUGUAAACUUCUUUUAUACGGGAAUAAAGUGCCCCACGCGUGGGGUUUUGCAUGUACCGUAUGAAUAAGGAUCGGCUAACUCCGUGCCAGCAG
rnacentral:rRNA from 1 species